CCCUGAACACCUUUGACAUUAUUCAAAGACCACAGGCAGCCCAAGAGGGGACUUCCUUUGGCUCAAUAGAAGGCAGGAAGAGGAAGUGGAAGGUGUUUGCUGGUCAGCCCUCUGAGCCUGUGGCUGACUUCACAGGAAACCAAGCCCAAAGCUGGGCCUGAGGAGGUCUUCACCAACGGCUGUUUCUCAUUCUCUGGCACACAUUUGAGAAUGACCUCUGGGAAUCAUUGUAUUCGGGAAGCUCCUAGCUCUGACCCCUGGCAGAAGAACAACACCUCAACACCCAGUUGUAUCCUGUCCCACAAGCAUCCAGAGAGGUUGGGAUUUGAAUCCAUGAAUACCCACACCAAUGGAAUCAUGGAUCAUUAAAAGUAUUGAAGAAAAAUCAUCAUCAUCAACAACAUCAAUAACAGCAGUAAGGCCCUUUUGAAGACAUACUGACUUCCAUUAAGUUCUCUGACCCCUGGGACAAUGAACAGGCUGUAAGUACACCCCAUUUCCUGAUGGUGAGGAUAAUGAAUGCGUGAACUGCCCCAGGAAUGGAUACACCACUUGCAUAAAUACCUG
rnacentral:lncRNA from 1 species